UAGGGAAUCUUCCGCAAUGGACGCAAGUCUGACGGAGCAACGCCGCGUGAGUGAAGAAGGAUUUCGGUUCGUAAAACUCUGUUGUUAGAGAAGAACAGCGCAUAGAGUAACUGUUAUGCGUGUGACGGUAUCUAACCAGAAAGCCACGGCUAACUACGUGCCAGCAGCCGCGGUAAUACGUAGGUGGCAAGCGUUGUCCGGAUUUAUUGGGCGUAAAGCGAGCGCAGGCGGUCAAUUAAGUCUGAUGUGAAAGCCCCCGGCUCAACCGGGGAGGGUCAUUGGAAACUGGUUGACUUGAGUGCAGAAGGGGAGAGUGGAAUUCCAUGUGUAGCGGUGAAAUGCGUAGAUAUAUGGAGGAACACCAGUGGCGAAGGCGACUCUCUGGUCUGUAACUGACGCGGAGGCUCGAAAGCGUGGGUAGCAAACAGG
rnacentral:rRNA from 1 species